GAAUAUACGAGUUCACUCCAACCCAUGUGACGUUACCAAACUGUUGCCUCGGCGGGAUCUCUGCCCCGGGUGCGUCGCAGCCCCGGACCAAGGCGCCCGCCGGAGGACCAACCAAAACUCUUUUUGUAUACCCCCUCGCGGGUUUUUUAUAAUCUGAGCCUUCUCGGCGCCUCUCGUAGGCGUUUCGAAAAUGAAUCAAAACUUUCAACAACGGAUCUCUUGGUUCUGGCAUCGAUGAAGAACGCAGCGAAAUGCGAUAAGUAAUGUGAAUUGCAGAAUUCAGUGAAUCAUCGAAUCUUUGAACGCACAUUGCGCCCGCCAGUAUUCUGGCGGGCAUGCCUGUCCGAGCGUCAUUUCAACCCUCGAACCCCUCCGGGGGGUCGGCGUUGGGGAUCGGCCCUGCCUCUUGGCUUGGUCCGUCUCCGAAAUACAAUGGCGGUCGGUCUCGCCCUCUCUCUCCUGCGCUUUGUUUGCACACUCGCAUCGGGAGCGCGGCCCCCCACAGCCGUUAAACACCCAACUUCUGAAAUGUUGACCUCGGAUCAGGUAGGAAUACCCGCUGAACUUAAGCAUAUCAAUAAGCGGAGGAACAUUU
rnacentral:rRNA from 1 species